CCUACGGGUGGCAGCAGUGAGGAAUAUUGGACAAUGGGGGGGAGCCUGAACCAGCGAAGUCGCGUGAGGGAAGAAGGAACUGAGUAUUGUAAACUUCAUUUGCCAGGGGAUAAAGGCGGCCACGGGUGGCAGUAAGAGGGUACAAGGAGAAAAAGGAUCGGUUAACUCCGUGCCAGCAGCCGCGGUAAUACGGAGGAUGAGGGCGUUAUCCGGAUGUAUGGGGUUAAAGGGGUGCGAAGGGGGCGUGUAAAGUCGGAGGUAAAAUGUCGGGGCUCAACCCAGGACGGCCGUUGAAACUGGGCUGCUAGAGUUCAGGAGAGGUAUGCGGAAUUCGUGGUGUAGCGGUGAAAUGCAUAGAUAUUACGAAGAACCCCGAUUGCGAAGGCAGCAUACCGGCUCCACACUGACGCUGAGGCACGAAAGCGUGGGUAUCGAACAGGAUUAGAUACCCCAGUAGUC
rnacentral:rRNA from 1 species